CUACGGGUCGCUGCAGUGAGGAAUAUUGCACAAUGGGGGAAACCCUGAUGCAGCAACGCCGCGUGGAGGAUGACGCAUUUCGGUGUGUAAACUCCUUUUAUCAGAGAAGAAAAUGACGGUAUCUGAUGAAUAAGCUCCGGCUAACUCCGUGCCAGCAGCCGCGGUAAUACGGAGGGAGCAAGCGUUAUUCGGAAUCACUGGGCGUAAAGGACGCGUAGGCGGGUUUUUAAGUCAGGUGUGAAAUCCUAUGGCUCAACCAUAGAACUGCACUUGAAACUGGGGACCUAGAGUAUGGAAGGGGCAGGUGGAAUUAGUGGUGUAGGGGUAAAAUCCGUAGAUAUCACUAGGAAUACCGAAAGCGAAGGCGGCCUGCUGGGACAUUACUGACGCUGAGGCGUGAAAGCGUGGGGAGCAAACAGGAUUAGAUACCCUUGUAGUC
rnacentral:rRNA from 1 species